rnacentral:rRNA from 1 species
CNGGGUUUGACAUGCACAGGACGNCNGCAGAGAUGUGGNUUCCCUUGUGGCCUGUGUGCAGGUGGUGCAUGGCUGUCNUCAGCUCGUGUCGUGAGAUGUUGGGUUAAGUCCCGCAACGAGCGCAACCCUUGUCUCAUGUUGCCAGCGCGUUAUGGCGGGGACUCGUGAGAGACUGCCGGGGUCAACUCGGAGGAAGGUGGGGAUGACGUCAAGUCAUCAUGCCCCUUAUGUCCAGGGCUUCACACAUGCUACAAUGGCCGGUACAAAGGGCUGCGAUGCCGUGAGGNGGAGCGAAUCCUUUCAAAACCGGUCUCAGUUCGNAUCGGGGUCUGCAACUCGACCCCGUGAAGUCGGAGUCGCUAGUAAUCGCAGAUCANCAACCUGCGGUGAAUA